rnacentral:rRNA from 1 species
CGGGUGAGUACUGUCUGUGGUCGGGUCCUACCUUCUGGCGAAGCGUCAUGGCCUUAACCGGCCGUGGCGGGGAACCAGGACUUUUACUGUGAAAAAAUUAGAGUGUUCAAAGCAGGCAAUCGCUUGGAUACAUUAGCAUGGAAUAAUGGAAUAGGACAAUGGUUCUAUUUGUUGGUUUCUAGGACCGUUGUAAUGAUUAAUAGGGAUAGUUGGGGGCAUUAGUAUUCAAUUGUCAGAGGUGAAAUUCUUGGAUUUAUUGAAGACUAACUACUGCGAAAGCAUUUGCCAAGGAUGUUUUCAUUAAUCAAGAACGAAAGUUAGGGGAUCGAAGACGAUCAGAUACCGUCGUAGUCUUAACCAUAAACUAUGCCGACUAGGAAUCGGGCGAUGUUGAAAAAAUGACGC